CCUAAACAAAGAAAGACAUAUUUCCUUAAAAUGAAGGAAAAAAAAACCUCUAAUCCAAAGCCUGGAAGCCAUUCUGUAAAGACUACUUAAUGUGAAACUUUGUUUACAAGAUACAAAUAUAGCCCUCUCACCACAUUCAAAACCAGAAAACAUCCACUUAUUUAAAGAAAUACUUUUUCUAUUUUGAUCAGCGAGAAUGUAGGUACUCAUUUUAAAUUUAAAUUCAGCUCAAUAGUGCCAUAUAAAUACUUUAAAUUCAUGUAUGAUAUGCACUGUUUGAGAAUGUUUAAACAAAGGAAGUAGGAAAAGCCUCAAAAUACACAGUAAAACUUAAUGACUUCAAUUUAAAAAUACAUACUGAUUGCAGCACGGUAGAAUUAUUCUCUUCUGCUCACAGCCAGCCUUCAGAAAGGGUGAGUGCAGGCAGUGGAGUAAUUUGUCCCACUGGAAAUUCUGUAUAAAACAUCUACCUAAAAUAAACAAGGCUUCGCAGCAAGAAUCGUCAACUGCCAUUAAGGACACACCUUAAAGUUCUUACCACACAGUAACUAAACAAGUACAAACUAGUGGUGACUGUUCGCUACUUUUGUCUGAAAAGUUAAUGAGAUCAAUUCACCCCUCAGUAUCAGAUCUUAAGAUAGUUUUCCUAAAAAGGCAAGAGACAAACAACCCCCAAAGACGAAUAGCCAGCACUCGGGUGCCUGAUGUGUUAUCAGAACGCCCGAGGUUCUUGUAAAUACGCAUAUAAAUAUUAACAUUUAAACCUGACACCACCUAAUACUAGAAGGUAAAACGCUGAGCUGCUGAGAACGCUGCUGCUCGGGUACUGGAAGGCAGCUGUUGUUCCCCUGCCUUUUCUUUUGUUGUGCUUAAUCUCAUGUCAAGUCAUUCAACCAACUCCAAAGCGAUGAAGACAUAAUUGAACAACCUUAACUAAAAGCUGAUCUACUGUUCUUAAAUAGCUCUAGAUAUCGUUUAACGAUUCGAGAAACCCACAUAUUUUAAAGGAACUUAUAGAAUUUAAAUCAGCAACUCUGGUGCAUGCAGAAGAGUUGCCUGGCUGCGGGCCAAGCCAAUCAAUAAUCACUGUAAUAACCACGUUUCUAAAGUUAUUUUCUUUUCAUACUCAUCACUCCAAAAACUUAAAGGCAGAACUGCCAAACUCGGUGCUGAUCUCGAGCACGAGCUGCUAACAUGUAAAACCCAGACGCUUUGUACAGAAUUACAGUAUUGCUCAUUUUUAAAAACAUUACAGAAAGGUUAGUGAUCACAAAGGCACAUUCUUGCCACAGAUCUUAAAAUAUUGACUCUGUUACAGAACUAGUUAAAGGGGAAGAAAAAAACACCUCCACCCUUCCCCUCUGCCCUCCCCCUGCCAAAGAAUGCAGUUUAUCCUACUUAUUUAAAACCGUCCUUCUGCAUUAUCCAAGGAAACGCUUAAACCUUAGUGUGGACAUCACAAAUUAAAGUCUUAGCCGUAUUCCCAAACCUACAGUAAAUAAGAGCUCCUAAGAGCAAUAAAACAUGGCGUUAAAGCAUUUGCAAGCCAUUGUCAUAGCACCGAGCUCUGAUACCUUUGCAGACACAAAACCAGCCCCCCCAGCACGAGCAUGGAAGCACUGGUCAGCAAGUCAAUGCCUGCUAUUCAACUUGUAGUCAGGCGUUUGAGUUCUGUGUCUUCCAGAUCAUAUCACUGCUGCAUUUCAGGGCCUAAUAAAAUGUGAAGAAUGAUAUGUUCUCUUUCUAACCGCAUUUGAAACUGCGUUAUUUCCCUCUCCUCUUUUUCACGCAUUCUUACAAAAACUUCCUUUUUCACAUACUUCUAUAAGAAAACAUCUCACUGCACCUCCUUCAGUUCCUAUUUCUAUUUUCGAUUUUCACUGUGUGCUUCUGCUGCUGCCUCCCCCUCAAACCCACCGCUGGAAACUGGGGUAGUUUUAAAGCUCUCAAGGUCAUUCCAGAAACAACAACAGAAAAAUGUUGUUGCCUAAAAAAAAAAAAAAAAAGAAAGAGAGAGAGAGAGAAAAACCUUUAAGCACACAAAACCCCCAGACUAAAAACCCUUUUCAAAUCCAAACGCCUUUCAUCAGCAGAUCAAUAACACAGCAUAAAGAUUUUUGUUCGCCACCACUUCAAAACUAUUACACUCCAAUUCAGAUACUUACAGGAGUCACAGCACGUUUGGGGGGUGGCUCAUUAAAGCACAGAGCUCACUCUGCUGCAGGUUUCUGUGUGGGGAACAAACAAAAACCCCACACCCAGAACAGAAAGUCCGGUGGGUAUCGCGGAACAGAGUGAAAUUCAAUCCGCAGAUAUCCCAGAAUUUUAUUGUCCUCGCUUGGCAACGUCUUUUGUUGCUCCAGAAGUCAGUUGGAGCUUAUUUAUUUAUUUCCUAAACUUCCUAUUCCCCUCGAAGAUCAGUAAAUAAGAGGAGAAACGCGAUGCCAAGACAUGAUCGUGGCUCAGGCUUCAGAGGAGGGAGGCAAACAACACAAAAAAGCUGGCAGAACGGAUCAAUAAACUUUUCCUUCCCUCCCCCCCGCCGCCCCACGAGCCACUUACUACGGAGCCUUCUUCCAGGCACAUCUCGGCUCACAAAGGAGCUCAGCUCAGCUCCGCUCUCCUCCCGCGCCCCGCACCCUCAGCUCCGCGGGGCCAGUUGAAACCGAGGAGCUUUGGCAACUUAAAUCCACAGUACUGUCAGCAAAAUGCUUAAUCUCUGCUAGACCUGAGGUUAGCGCCUUCCUCAAGCAAAUGGGAUAAGGAAGAGGGCAAAGCACAAGAGCAGCAACUUCAGUGGGACUUGCAUGUGCGUUUCAGUAUCGAUUAUUUUCCAUUGGCAGCAAGGCAGAAAGAACAAAGCCGAAUUUCAAUGAAGGUGAAGUAUGCUGACCUCCUUAAAGCCACAGGGUGUUCCAUUGGAGACGGGACUCUGGGUGACUAUAAACAUGAUUGAGCAGAGAACACAGAAGCCAUGUGGUUUUUUUUCCACUGAGAUAUGAUACCACCAUGGAAAGCAUAAGAAAGUAAAAGGAUUGUUUCAGGAAAAAAAUUAGAGGCUCAGCAUAUCUCUAAACACUUUUUUUUUCCCCCUCAAAAUGCAUCGUAAAACAUCACAUCACAUGACUGAACUGAAAACAUCCAAUUUAUUUUUACAGAUUAGCCACAAUGACCCCCAUGACUUAUGCUCAUGGCACUGGAGAUGUUUGAUAUGAGGCAAGGGCCAACUUGUAAAAAUAAAUCUUAUAUUUUCUCCCCAUGUUUGUUUUGUGCUGGGGACAUUUGCUGCUUUUCUGGAGAAUCUUCAGCACUUGGUAUAUUAUGUACGGUGUAAAAAAUUUGACAGCAAACACACAGGAAAGGCUGACAGACCUGUAUUUACUGUAUUGCUUUGUAUGUUACUACACAGUCUGCAAUAUUAAACCCAACUCCAAACUAGACUUUGGAACCAGGCAGCAAGCCCAAAAUUGUGAUAAUCUCCUCCAUAACAGCAGAAAAAAAUAAAAUAACAUUGCUGAAAGUUGAAAUGUUUAGUUUCAG
ensembl:lncRNA